rnacentral:rRNA from 1 species
ACGCACGCUGGCGGCGUGCUUAACCCAUGCAAGUCGAACGGAAAGGCCCUGCUUUUGUGGGGUGCUCGAGUGGCGAACGGGUGAGUAACACGUGAGUAACCUGCCCUUGACUUUGGGAUAACUUCAGGAAACUGGGGCUAAUACCGGAUAGGAGCUCCUGCUGCAUGGUGGGGGUUGGAAAGUUUCGGCGGUUGGGGAUGGACUCGCGGCUUAUCAGCUUGUUGGUGGGGUAGUGGCUUACCAAGGCUUUGACGGGUAGCCGGCCUGAGAGGGUGACCGGCCACAUUGGGACUGAGAUACGGCCCAGACUCCUACGGGAGGCAGCAGUGGGGAAUAUUGCACAAUGGGCGGAAGCCUGAUGCAGCAACGCCGCGUGCGGGAUGACGGCCUUCGGGUUGUAAACCGCUUUCGCCUGUGACGAAGCGUGAGUGACGGUAACGGGUAAAGAAGCACCGGCUAACUACGUG